AAGGGAGACCUACCCGCAUUGAUGCUUGAACACAGACUGUUAUUAGAGCCAAUGUUGGUCAUCCCAAGGUCGUUCGAGUAUAAGUGUUGGCUUUCAAACUAGCUAGGUUUGGUUUAUGGGCUAUUAGCUCAGGUGGUUAGAGCGCACCCCUGAUAAGGGUGAGGUCCCUGGUUCGAGUCCAGGAUGGCCCACCUUGGAGGAGGGGGUUUAGCUCAGUUGGUAGAGCGCCUGCUUUGCAAGCAGGAUGUCAACGGUUCGAGUCCGUUAACCUCCACUGGGCUUUUAGCUUCAGUGCUAGAGUCCUGAGUGAUAACUUCAGCAACUUAUCUAGUGCUUUUAGCUAGAGUGCCUGCUGAAUUUAGUUUCAGCCAGAACCUUGAAAACUGCAUAGUAACUUGUCAGGUAGAAACAAGUGUUCAAUUUUCCACUGCUAGUGAGUGAUGGUGACAUUACUGUUU
rnacentral:tRNA from 1 species